rnacentral:rRNA from 1 species
AGGAUGAACGCUGGCGGCGUGCCUAACACAUGCAAGUCGAACGUCCUGUCUCGCAAGAGGCAGGGAGUGGCGGACGGGUGAGUACCACGUGGGUCAUCUACCGUGAGGUGAGGAAUACCGGCGAGAAAUCGCCGACAAGACCGCAUAGGCUCGAUGCAAGUCGAGCAAAGCUCUUUCGAGAGAGGGAGCGCCACACGAGGAGCCUGCGCCCGAUUAGCUAGCUGGUGGAGUAACGGUUCACCAGGGCGACGAUCGGUAGCUGGUCUGAGAGGACGAUCAGCCACACUGGGAUUGAGAACGGCCCAGACUCCUACGGGGGGCAGCAGUGAGGAAUUUUCGUCAAUGGGGGCAACCCUGAACGAGCAACGCCGCGUGCAGGAAGAAGGUUUUCGGAUCGUAAACUGCUUUUCGUCGGGGAAGAGAACGGACGGUACCCGAGGAAUCAGCCCCGGCUAACUACGUGUCAGCACGCCGCGGU